UACUUAGACAAUAAGCCUAUUUGCAUUUACCAGUACGCAUGCGCGGAAUUUCCUUAGCAACGAAAAAAGUGAGAUAAACAAGUCGCGUUCGACAGGGCAGCGUGUGUCCAGGUUCAAUGUUCAAGUGUCGAGAUUUUUAGCCUCUACACGGCGUUAACGGCAGCUACCCGCCUGGAUCUGAUGUUCCAACGAUGUCCUAAACCUUGUGUACCUGAAACACCGUGUUCAGUUUCGCUUCAGAGGAAUUUACGGUGCCGGAGUUCAACAUGAGGCUGUGUGCAGUGGUCGGCCGUAAUGGAACAUAUCAACCAAGGCGGUUUCAACCUUCUUGUAUCAACUUUAAAAAAAGGAAGUCAGGGACAUGUCCAAAUAAAAACAUGGAACAAAAAAAGGAUUUUGAUGAUGCAACUGUCCCCAACCUUUCCAGCUAUGCAUUUCCCACUGACAAGAAAGACCCAUGGUCGGACAAAACUGUUCUUGCUCACAGAUUGCCAACACUUGGGUUCGCUUCCUGUCUGUUACACUACAACCACUGAUAGUAUGGCCAAGUAGAGCUGCAAUUUCCAAGACCUUGCCACCACAAUUCAAGAAACAAUGUAGUAGAAUAAGAUGCAUAAUUGAUUGUACAGAAAUAUUUAUUGAGAGACCUAGAUCUUUAGACUUACAAGCCUCCACAUGGUAUGACUAUAAAAACACAAUACUUUAAAGCCGUUUGUAGGGAUCACACCAAAUGGGCACAUCUCCUUUCUUUCAAAGAUCUAUGGCGGAAGAGCCUCUGAUGUGUUCAUUACCUGGGACUGUGGCUUUUUAGAUUUGGUUGAUCCAAAUGACGUUAUAAAAAUAAUGGCAGAUAGGGGAUUUCCAAUCCAGGAGGACCUGAUGCUGCUGAAUGCAACACUAGAAAUACCACCAGCAGCAUAGGGGAGGCGACACAUGACAAGAGACAAAGUAAAGAAAACAAAAACUGUUGCAAACUUGAGGAUCCGCGUAGAGCGUGCUAACAAUCGACUGAAGGACUUCAAAAUCCUGGAGGGUACAUUUCCCAUAACACUCAUGUCAGCAGUAGAUGACAUUAUCAAGGUCUGUGCUGCAUUGGUUCGGAACCUGCAGCCAGACUUGGUCAAAUAAACAGUUGGCAUACAAGCCAUUCAAGUUGGCAGAGAUAAACGGUAUUGAAUUGCUGGCAGCUGAGUGCCAGUGACUUUUUUAAUGAUCCUUUACUGAUUAUGUUGUGAUAGCAGGAAACUGUGACCGAUGAUAAUAAUGACAAUGUAAUGAAGAUGUAAUAGAUAAAAGUGGAUCCUUUCUGUAACAUGUCCUCAAAUGUAUUCUCAAACAUUUUUCAUACAUUAAGUUGUGAGUUCUGUACAUUUAUGCUGCCAUACUGGUGGUGAUGUAGGAACAUAUUUUUUGGAAUAAAAUCAACGGGAUCUUA